UACGUAGGUGGCAAGCGUUGUUCGGAAUUAUUGGGCGUAAAGGGCGCGUAGGCGGCCAGCACAAGUCAGUUGUGAAAUCUCCGAGCUUAACUCGGAACGGUCAACUGAUACUGUGCGGCUAGAGUGCGGAAGGGGCAACUGGAAUUCUUGGUGUAGCGGUGAAAUGCGUAGAUAUCAGGAGGAACACCUGUGGUGUAGACGUCUUACUGGACAGUAACUAACGCUGAGACACGAAAGCGUGGGUAGCAAACAGG
rnacentral:rRNA from 1 species